UAGGAGGCGAGCGUUAUCCGGAUUUACUGGGCGUAAAGAGGGUGUAGGCGGCCUUUCAAGUCGGAUAUGAAAUCUCCUGGCUUAACUGGGAGGGGUUAUUCGAUACUGGGGAGCUUGAGAGGCAGCAGAGGGAGGUGGAAUUCCCGGUGUAGCGGUGAAAUGCAUAGAUAUCGGGAGGAACACCCGUGGCGAAGGCGGCCUUCUGGACCUACCCUGACGCUGAGGCGCGAAAGCGUGGGGAGCAAACCGGAUUAGAUACCCGGGUAGUCCACGCCCUAAACGUUGGACACUAGGUGUGGGGGGUAUCGACCCCCUCCGUGCCGCAGCUAACGCGUUAAGUGUCCCGCCUGGGAAGUACGAGCGCAAGCUUA
rnacentral:rRNA from 1 species